CGCUGAGACUGCAGCUGCGGCUGAGCUCUGGCUUGGCGCAAUUCAAAUCUGUGCGUUCAGUUGCAGUUGGCGCUUCGUUCGAUGCGGAUCGCAGCAGUCGCGAGUUCCAGUGAAUUAUCUCUUGAAGUUAUCUAAAUCCAGAUUGAAGAUGUCCACAUCUCAGGCUGUUGCUAAGGACUUGAGUAGUAUGUCAACCAUUUGACUAUGAGAGUCACGCUCUGGCAGGAUGCUGCAUCGCCAAGAGGGCGUUCUUUUGGUUCUGCUGGGACGGCGCAUUGCAGGGCAAGUGAGGGGGUCAGUUCGGGAGGAGAUGGUGGAUAUUGUCUCAGAAAUUCUCUUUUUGUUCCGUGCUUAAUUUAUUUAAUAGCUCUGUCCGCCCACAUUCAUUUCUGCUUUAAUAUUGUUCUUUUAGAAAGAUAAUCAAGAUUCUUGUUAAAUGAACAAACAAUUUGUUU